rnacentral:rRNA from 1 species
UACGGAGGGUGCAAGCAUUAAUCGGAUUUAUUGGGCGUAAAGGGCGCGUAGGCGGUUUAGAAAGUCAGGUGUGAAAUUCCGAAGCUCAACUUCGGAGCUGCAUUUGAAACUCCUAGACUCGAGGUAUGGCGGAGAAAAUGGAAUUCCACGUGUAGCGGUGAAAUGCGUAGAUAUGUGGAAGAACACCAGUGGCGAAAGCGGUUUUCUAGCUAUAACCUGACGCUGAGGCGCGAGAGCAAGGGGAGCAAACAGG